UUCACUUAUUCAGACAGUAGAUGAAAGUACAGUACCGAGAUAAAUCACUUGGGAAAAGCUUCCUUGUAUUCUUUACUAAUAAUUCCCAGGAUCAUCUCAUCUGCUCUAUUUACAGCUCACUGUCCUUAUCCUUUCAUUUAUUUCUGCUUCAACGGCAAAAAUGUUUAACUUUUUUCUGUAGCUGUUUUAUCUGACAGUUUCUCAGCCACUGUGAUAACGACUUUUGUUUUAAGUGUUCCUAUUGAAAUACGCAGUUAUUUUUUUUAAUGCACCGAACCAUGUUGGCCAGGUCUGGGCUCUGCAAAAUGUUGUUGGUUUUUUGUUUUACUUUCUCUAUCUAUUCUUCAGUCUAGAUAGGGUUUCCCUUCAGUCUCCCCUGGAUUAAUGCUGAAGAUGUGAGCUGUCAAAGGUGUGUCCCUGCAGUCUGAACACAGUUGUCACUGUUAGAGACAAAGAGAUUUCUGCUAGGCAGUGGAAAAGAUGCUAUGAAAAUACGGAUGUAACAGUUCGAAUCCUGG
ensembl:lncRNA